UACAGAGGUCUCGAGCGUUAGGCGGAAUCACUGGGCUUAAAGCGUGUGUAGGCGGAUCGUUAAGUGCCUUGUGAAAUCCCACGGCUCAACCGUGGAACUGCUUGGCAUACUGGCGGUCUUGAGCAAGCUAGGGGCGAGCGGAACAAAUGGUGGAGCGGUGAAAUGCGUAGAUAUCAUUUGGAACGCCAAUGGUGAAAACAGCUCGCUGGGGGUUUGCUGACGCUGAGACACGAAAGCCAGGGGAGCAAACGGG
rnacentral:rRNA from 1 species